rnacentral:snRNA from 1 species
GAUACGAUACAGAGAAGAUUAGCAUGGCCCCUGUAUAAGGAUGACAUGUAAGACUAUGGUGUUUUUAUCUAUAUUUUCUCUCGG